CAGAGUGACUUUAUUUUAAUAAAACGAAUUUACUCUUUAUUGGUUGUAGAAACAAGUUUAUUUUUAUGUGGCCUGAAUCUAGUACAUUGGAGUUGUAGAAACAACAUUUAUUUUAUGUGGCCUGAAUCUAGUACAUUGGAAGUUGGAAUUUGGAAUGUGUUUUAUGUAGAGGGUAACACAAUGUACUUUUAUUUGAGGCUCUCAUACCCAACAUUCCGGGGAUAGGUGAGCUAGCCAAACCAUGUUUUGUUGAGCCUGUGACGCUUAAAUAAUUAAGCCACACCUCGUUUGUUAUUGGUCAAUGGGGCUUACGUCAUACUCAAAUGUGAAUUUUAAAUAGGCAAUGAGAAGCCUGAGUGGACAGAAUAAACUUAUCAUGUUAAUUUAUGCAUAGGACUAAUUUUAUUUUGGGUAUACAAGCGUGGGCAACUGUAAGAGAAAGGACUUGCUAAGAGAAAUUCCGAGUAGAAGGCAGUGGCCAGACUCGAAGUGAUUUUUGAGACUAAGAAGCCAAGGGAGAUAGGGCAAUGCAUAGCCAGCCUGCAGCAGAGCUAAUGAGAGCUCAUUGAGUCUGAACUAAUAAGAGUUCACGAACCAGCGUAUAGAAAAUUCAGCAGCGUAUAAGCCAGGAGUCCUUCAAUUCCUGGCUUUUAAUCUUGGUUUUGGGAUUGCGUCCCCGUGACCAGAGGAGUGAGACCGGACUGCAGCGGCGGGACCAGAGGACCGUGUGGACUCCGCUGGCCAAGUGGGAAAGCUACGGGCAUAGCGCAUUUUGCUGGACACGAGACAACAAGAGACACUCGGACACUUCUUUUCUAUGCUGUAACUAAUAUUUGUGAUUGUACUAAAUACUGGAAGUUGCCCCUUAAUCUGAAUUCAAUAAGGAAUAUAAAUCGUGUGUAUGAUAAGUCUGUAAAUAAAUAUAAAUAUUGUAAAGAGAAGAGUGAA